UUAUAAAUUACCCAGCUUCAGAAAUUCCUUUCUAGCAAUGCAGAUGGACUGAGACACCUCCUAAGGAAGUUGAGAGAGCUUGGGCAUGCAAGUCCACAAUAGAGCAUGCAAUCACGAAAAAACCUGCGUGAAUUCUAAAAUGAGCCCCUGAGCCAUAGGGAAUAACAGGGGGCUUUUAGUGACUUGCAUAAGGAUUUUCACACUGUUUGCAAGUCAUUUAGGGCAGGUGGGCAUGCAUCAUGAUCCAUAAUACUCUUGUGCUCCCUCUUCCAGCCAUCUUUGGCCCCUUUACCUUCACAUCUUCCCUGCUGGAACCCAGCCUGGAAAAAUGGUGAGUUGAGCUCCCCCUGGGGGGCUCCCAUGGCUGUCCCCUCCUUCCAGAGGCAUAUAUGGGGGUAAAUGUGGGCCUGGAGAGAUCCUGGAACAUCGUGCUGUCUCAUGGAUGGCAGGCCUUCAGCGUCACUGAGCGUUCACACCUGAAACCAUUAAAGGUUAUUCGCCUUUUAAUUCUGUAUGGUUGCUCUCACUCCUUCCUUAGAGAAACCUCUGAUUUUCAUUUGCGAGACGCUCGGCUGAGCUUGUCAUACCCUAAAAGGUGAUUUCAGUUCUCCGAUGCCAAAGAACCUCUUCCGCUAAUCAAAACACAGCUGCAGAGGCCUGUGUGAUCUGCUAAUGGGCACCCCAACUCUGGGGUAUGUCUGUCUGUACCUGGGAAAAUAGAUAUAAUUAGGAUAACAGAUAUCAUAUGUAUAUGCAAAUGCAGCAGGUAAAAAUGACUAGAAAUGGCUGGAGUUUGCCAAAUCCCAUCAGACCAACUAUGUAGCUUAACCAGACGCUAACACCAUCACCACCAGGCCUUCCCCAGUACCAGCCCUGGUGCCCUUGCUUCAUCUUCUUUUCUCCACCGUGCUGGAACCCUCAUGCAAGUUAUUUUUAUUUCUAUUUUUUUAUAGAUAGGGUCUCACUCUGUUGCCCAGACUGGAGUGCAGUGGCACAAUCAUGGUUCACUGCAGCCUCAAACUCCUGGGUUCAAGUGAUCCUCCCGCCUCAGGCUCCUGAGUAGCUGGGACUACAGGCCUGCACCACCAUGCCCAGCUAAUCUUUAAAUUUUCUGUAGAGACAAGGUCUUGCCAUGUUGCCCAGGCUGGUCUUGAACCCCUGGCCUCAAGCAAUCCUCGCACCUCAGCCUCUCAAUGUGUUGGGAUUGCCUAUUUUUAUUUUUUAAUAUAACAAUAGAUCCCCAUAGUUUUCUGAAGAGGCUCUUUCAAGAGCUUCAGGUCUUAUGAGGCUGCAGGGAUCCUAGCAUCUGAGAAGCCAGUGGGGGAAAGAUGGACAAUAGAGAGGGCCUCUUCAGUGUUUUUCCUUUAAUGAGGGUUUGAUCCCCUCAAUGACAGCAUCAGGAUUGGAGAGGACCCAGUGCAUCAUUACCAAGCCCAAGUUGCCUUUGCAAAGAGAACCACCCCAUAAGGAUGAGAACCACCCCAAACCUUCUUGUCUGGAGUCAGAAGGCUCAGGCUGAAAUUCUGUUUCUGCCUCUUCCUUGUGGUGUGCACUUAGGCAAGUGACUUACCUCUCUGUGUGUUGUGUUCUUCACCCUAAAUGGGCACAAUAACAGCACUCACCUCAAACGGCCUGCAAUAUGUAAGCUCUCAGAUGAUGUUUUCCUUUGUGAUAGGUGCAUGGGCAGGUGAAGAGAGUCAAACAUCAGGCCCAGGGUUCUCACUCCACUGCAUUACUCCAUCUACCUGCCCACGGAUAAAUCACUUCACCGUUCUGAGCCUCACUUUCUUCAUUUGUUAAGUGGGCUAAUAAUGGAUGGAUGUCAUAGUGCUGUGUAACAGUAAACAACAACAUGCCAUUAAACAGAAGCUAGUUAUGCAUGUGGAGUAAUGAUGUCUGCAUUUUUGGGGACUGCCAAGUCUGAUAAGAUUGAAGAGCAUCUCAGCUGGGCACGGUAGCUCAUGCCUGUAAUCCCAGCACUUGGGGAGGCUGAGGCGAUGCUCUGUGUCUGAUAGGGGUUAAGGAAGUCAUCACUCCCAUCUGGUCUAUCAAAAGGGCUGCAAAACUAUGCAGGCAAACGACCUGGGCACUGCCUUUAUCGAGCUGUGCAGCCAUUGAACAAGGGCAUCCAACUUCACCAAACUAGGAAAGCCUGCAUGUGCACAUCCAUCUCUGCUGUUGGGAUUGGGGCCUAUGCCUGUUCCCAUUCUGUAUGCUGUGUGCUUGACACAGUGCCUGGUGCAUUACGUGCUCAAGAAAUAUGUAUUGAUUGAUGGAUGAAUAAAUGAAAUCAUCUGCAUCCGUGGAUGAAUAGAUGGUCAAUUACAUUGUCAAUUUUCUACCCUGUGGGUGGAGUGGAAAAAGCAGUCAGAAUCUUGGUCCUUUUGCAAAUGGUGGAAAAGGACAAUAUUUGUAGAGUGUGUACAGACUUUGCAGUCAGAGCCAUGUUCAAUUCUCAAUAUUGCCGUAUCUUAGCAGUGAGCUUAUUCAAACGUCAGUUUAAGAAAAUGUGCUAACCUUCAGCUUCCUCAUCUGUAAAAUGAGGAUAAAAAUAUUGCCUCCUUUAUAAAAUUAUUGUGUAGAUGCUAUAAAUUUGUACAUGCCAGGGCCUGGCAUGUUACCAAAUAGAAGGUGGUAGAAUGGAAAUGAAUCUCCUUCUUACUUCCCCUCUGCACUACACAGAUUUCAAGGAUAUUGUUUUAUACCCAGCCAAGUCUGAAGCACUGGAAGUGGAUCCGAUCUUUUACCUAACUCUAGCAUUGAUGUUUUUUAUUCUGUUGAAGGCAUCAAUAUUUGUUUAAUAGUAUAAAUCUUAAAUAAACAUCUAAACUAC
rnacentral:lncRNA from 1 species